AUUUUGUUGACGAGUCCCAAACAGGACGAAAUGUAAAUCUUGUAU
rnacentral:hammerhead_ribozyme from 1 species